rnacentral:rRNA from 1 species
UACGUAGGUGGCAAGCGUUGUCCGGAUUUACUGGGCGUAAAGGAUGCGUAGGCGGACAUUUAAGUCAGAUGUGAAAUACCCGAGCUUAACUUGGGUGCUCAUUUGAAACUGGGUGUCUAGAGUGCAGGAGAGGUAAGUGGAAUUCCUAGUGUAGCGGUGAAAUGCGUAGAGAUUAGGAAGAACACCAGUGGCGAAGGCGACUUACUGGACUGUAACUGGCGCUGAGGCAUGAAAGCGUGGGGAGCAAACAGG